UACGUAGGGGGCAAGCGUUGUCCGGAAUCAUUGGGCGUAAAGAGCGUGUAGGCGGUUCGGUAAGUCGGCUGUGAAAAUCCAGGGCUCAACCCUGGACCUGCGUUCGAUACGGGCAGACUAGAGUUCGGUAGGGGAGACUGGAAUUCCUGGUGUAGCGGUGAAAUGCGUAGAUAUCGUAAGGAAGACCAGUGGCGAAGGCGGGUCUCUGGACAGUUCCUGACGCUGAGGCACGAAGGCCAGGGGAGCAAACGGG
rnacentral:rRNA from 1 species